UGGUGGAGUGAUUUGUCUGGUUAAUUCCGAUAACGAACGAGACCUCAGCCUGCUAAUUAGUGAUGCAAAUGAUUACAUCCAAUUGUGGAGGGGGUUUCAGUAAUAGCUUAGGGUUUGACUUUGAGAUAUUAUUGAAAAACUCGUAUUCAUUUGUUAGAGAUUUGCCUAUCUUUAUUGAUAGAAUAAUCUCGAUAAUGACUUCUUAGAGGGACACUUGGUGUUUAACCAAGGGAAGUUCG
rnacentral:rRNA from 1 species